rnacentral:hammerhead_ribozyme from 1 species
AUCUGGCUGACGAGUCCCAAAUAGGACGAAUCGCACGUACAGGAU